AGAAAGAAUAGGAAUCCAAGAAGGAGUUUCUCUGAACCAAUAUCAACGUCAGAAUAUGAGACGAGUGGUUCAGACUCAGAUUCCUCUAAAGCGAGUACGUCUGCCUCAUCAGAACGUAAUUCAAAAAGUAUAUUAAAAAGAGGGGUCUCUUUUUUAGGCCAACCCAAUAUGGAAGAAAGUACAGCCCCACGGACAAGGUACAGAGGCAGACCACCCCAACCCUUC